rnacentral:rRNA from 1 species
CCUACGGGUGGCAGCAGUGGGGAAUAUUGGACAAUGGGGGCAACCCUGAUCCAGCCAUGCCGCGUGUGUGAAGAAGGCCCUCGGGUUGUAAAGCACUUUCAGUGAGGAAGAACGCUUGGUGGUUAAUACCCAUCAGGAAAGACAUCACUCACAGAAGAAGCACCGGCUAACUCCGUGCCAGCAGCCGCGGUAAUACGGAGGGUGCGAGCGUUAAUCGGAAUUACUGGGCGUAAAGCGCGCGUAGGUGGCUUGAUAAGCCGGUUGUGAAAGCCCCGGGCUCAACCUGGGAACGGCAUCCGGAACUGUCAAGCUAGAGUGCAGGAGAGGAAGGUAGAAUUCCCGGUGUAGCGGUGAAAUGCGUAGAGAUCGGGAGGAAUACCAGUGGCGAAGGCGGCCUUCUGGACUGACACUGACACUGAGGUGCGAAAGCGUGGGUAGCAAACAGGAUUAGAUACCCUUGUAGUC